rnacentral:rRNA from 1 species
UGGGGAAUAUUGCACAAUGGGCGAAAGCCUGAUGCAGCAACGCCGCGUGAGUGAUGAAGGUCUUCGGAUUGUAAAGCUCUGUCUUUUGGGACGAUAAUGACGGUACCAAAGGAGGAAGCCACGGCUAACUACGUGCCAGCAGCCGCGGUAAUACGUAGGUGGCGAGCGUUGUCCGGAUUUACUGGGCGUAAAGGGUGCGUAGGCGGAUGUUUAAGUGAGAUGUGAAAUACCCGGGCUUAACUUGGGUGCUGCAUUUCAAACUGGAUAUCUAGAGUGCAGGAGAGGAGAAUGGAAUUCCUAGUGUAGCGGUGAAAUGCGUAGAGAUUAGGAAGAACACCAGUGGCGAAGGCGAUUCUCUGGACUGUAACUGACGCUGAGGCACGAAAGCGUGGGUAGCAAACAGGAUUAGAUACCCUGGUAGUCCACGCCGUAAACGAUGAGUACUAGGUGUAGGAGGUAUCGACCCCUUCUGUGCCGCAGUAAACACAUUAAGUACUCCGCCUGGGGGAGUACGAUCGCAAGAUUAAAACUCUAAAGUGAAUUGAC